AUGAAGACAAUGGAGUGCGAAGACAUAGUUUCUUUUGUACUUUCAUUAUUUUCUUUCUUGAGUCAUAGGAAUCACCGACCUGUCAAGUGGCAUUCAAGUGAACAAAGUCAGAAAACUGACGUGAUGCUCAACCCAAAUCCUAUGUCUUUGAGUGAAGACAAUGAGAGAAAAACUUAUCCUGAGUUGGAUAAGUCAGCUUUACUUGUAGCCCAAGUCAAGCUGUCGCGUGUAUUUGAAAUCCGACCAUUGGACACAUGUCGGUUCCCCAAUGACACAGGGUCAUUUCGAACAAAUCAUGCCGGGUUUCCCUCUGGCUAUAAAUAG
rnacentral:rRNA from 1 species